rnacentral:misc_RNA from 1 species
GAAAUGCGAUAAGUAAUGUGAAUUGCAGAAUUCAGUGAAUCAUCGAAUCUUUGAACGCACAUUGCGCCCGCCAGCACUCUGGCGGGCAUGCCUGUUCGAGCGUCAUUUCAACCCUCAGAACCCCUUGCGGGAUCUGGCGUUGGGGAUUGGCAUCCAGCCAGCCCCGAAAUCUAGUGGCGGUCCCUCCGCGACCUCCCCUGUGCAGUAGCGAUACCUCGCAGCGGGACAGCGGUCUGACCACGCCGUAAAACCCCCAACUUCUCACGGUUGACCUCGAAUCAGGUAGGAAUACCCGCUGAACUUAAGC